CGGGGUGUAGCUCAGUGGUAGAGCAUGUACUUAGCAUGCAUGAGGUGCUGGGUUCCAUCCCCAGUACCUCCA
rnacentral:tRNA from 1 species